GGGGUCGACCUCGUGCCGCUCAUUCUCCGCGGCCCGGCAUGGCGGCGGGCGCGGGUCCCCGGCCGGAGCUGCGCUGGGCCCGGGCACUGGGCGAGCCGCUGAGCGCGGCGCAGCUGCGGCGGCUGGACGAGCACCGCUACAGCGCGGCGGGCGUGUCUGUGCUCGAGCCGCUGCUGCAGCGCUACUGGACCUGGCUGCUGCGCUGGGUGCCGCUCUGGCUGGCGCCCAACGCCAUCACGCUGCUCGGCCUGGCCGUCAACCUGGCCGUCACGCUCGCGCUCGUCGCCUUCUGCCCCACGGCCACCGAGGAGGCACCGGGCUGGGCCUACUUCCUGGGAGCGCUGGGCCUGUUCACCUACCAGUCCCUGGACGCCGUGGAUGGGAAGCAAGCCCGGAGAACCAACUCCUGCUCCCCACUGGGGGAGCUGUUCGACCACGGCUGCGACUCUCUCUCAUCAGUGCUGAUGGCUGUGGGCGCCUCUCUGGCUGUGCGCUUGGGCACGCACCCUGACUUGCUGUUCUUCUGCUCCUUCGUCGGGAUGUUCAUGUUCUACUGCGCGCACUGGCAGGCCUACGUGUCGGGGACGCUGCGAUUUGGGAAGGUGGAUGUGACUGAGAUCCAGGUGGCCUUAGUGAUCAUCUUUAUCUUGUCUGCCUUUGGAGGAGCGACAAUGUGGGACUAUACGAUACCCAUGCUGGAAAUAAGAUUGAAGAUCUUUCCAGUCCUCGGCGUGGUAGGUGGAGCAAUAUUUUCCUGCUCAAAUUAUUUCCAUGUCAUUCUCCACGGUGGUGUUGGCAAGAACGGGUCCACUGUAGCGGGCACGAGUGUUUUGUCGCCUGGACUCCACAUCGGACUCACCAUCGUCCUGGCAGUAAUGAUCUAUAAAAAGUCAGCCGCGAACGUGUUCGAAAAGCACCCUUGCCUUUAUACCCUAAUGUUCGGGUGUGUCUUCGCUAAAGUUGCACAGAAACUAGUGAUCGCUCACAUGACCAAAAGUGAACUAUAUCUUCAAGACACUAUCUUUAUUGGGCCAGGUCUUUUGUUUCUAGACCAGUACUUUAAUAACUUUGUAGAUGAAUAUGUUGUUCUGUGGAUAGCAAUGGUCGUUGCUUCACUUGACAUGAUCCUGUACUUCAGCGCUUUGUGCCUGCAAAUCUCAAGACACCUGCAUCAAAGUAUCUUCAAGAUCUCCUGCCACCAGGCACCUGAACAGGUUCACAAGCAUGUUGACUAAUAGCCUGAGGAAGAGGCGGUUAGGGGAGCCUAGGCUGAAGGAAGCCCCCUUCUCCAGGCGGUAGGAUGCUGUCAGAUAAGGCGCUAUUUGCUAGAAACAAGCCCUGCAGAUGCCGUUGUGUCUGCUGAGUAAGGAAGCCUCAUGAUGCGUCACCCACAUUGUGGUCACAGGUUCACGUUCUUUCUCCAAAGAGUCAUCAGAGCAACAUGGACUGAAGAGACUUGCGGACGCUUGCCAUCUCUUGCUGCUGCUGUUUCAUGAAAGAGGAGACAGUAAACAUUUGUUUGAAUUGUCAGUUAACUGUUAUACAUAUUUCAGCAAAUAAAAUCUUUCAGAGCUUACAUUAA